UACGUAGGUGGCAAGCGUUGUCCGGAAUUACUGGGCGUAAAGAGCGCGUAGGCGGCGCUGUACGACCCGUGUGAAAGCCCCCGGCUCAACUGGGGAGGGUCACGGGUAACGGCAGUGCUCUGAGUGCAGGAGAGGGAAGUGGAACUCCGGGAGUAGCGGUGAAAUGCGUAGAGACCCGGAGGAACACCGGUGGCGAAGGCGGCUUCCUGGUCUGCAACUGACGCUGUGGCGCGAAAGCUAGGGGAGCAAACGGG
rnacentral:rRNA from 1 species